rnacentral:miRNA from 1 species
CAGGCUCCUCCAACCUCGGCCCUCCAGAUGUUUUGAGACUAUAAUUCCUAUCGUCCCUGGUCCUGCUAGCUAGGGAUCAUGGGAGUUGUAGGCCAAAAACAUCUGGAGGGCCGAGGUUGAGGAAGCCUGU